GCUCACGUGCUCAGGACAUUUCACCAAAUUGCAGACUCCAAUAAAUAAUUCUCCCGAGCCUGCAGUUAUUGCUUCCUGGGUCAUUUUGAAGUCUGAUUUAGGGCAUGCCAAAGGGAACAUUGGCCCUGAAACCAUUAACCGCCACCCACAGACUCUAGCUGAAAUGCUUCCCUUCUUGGCGUAAUCUGAAAUUGUUCUUCCUGAUUAAAGCAAAGGGCUUUCUAAAGUCUCCAUUAAAAAAAGUUUUAUACCCAUUAACACCCAUUAGCUCUGGUUAGUUUAUCAGAUUUCUGUACCUGACUGGGACCCAGAGGGUAGGGUAAGCAUUGAGGCAAGAGGGAGCGGGGGCCGGGAGUGGGGGAGGGUACGGAGGACGGAGAGGGUUCUCACCGCACCCACACCACGGCUUGAUGAGGGAGGCAGGGCAGUGCUGACUCCAUUUUACAGUCGGGAUGGUUGCGGUUCAGGGAGAUAAGCCCCUCUCCUGACGCAGGGCAAUGGUCCUUCCAUCAGGUUGCCUCCACCUGGGACCUGCUGGGCUUGCGCUGAGAAUUUCGGAGACACGCCAGGUAGAAGAUUCUAAUUCUUCUCACCAUCUGCCCUGCUCCAAUCCUAGUUCAAGUCACUGCCAGCUACUUCUCAAACACAGAGAAAGUCCGCAGACACACCUCUCCCACCUCUACUCUUACCCUGCUCCCCUCCCAGCAACGAGAGCUUGUCUUGACAACCUUGACAUCAGCAGGCACCUUCAACAAGGAUUUACCACCUCGGCUUAGCAUGGUGUGGUCUGGACGCACCAGCCCCACUGUGGAUGUUUGGACGGUUGCGAUUAUAUACAACACCACAGAGAAGAUCUCGGAACGUUCAUCUUCGUGCACGUGUAGAAAUAUAUUGAACUGGAUACUUUAACCGUUAAAACAGGCAAAGGUAUCCAGAGACUUCUCCCAACCCGAAGAGAUUCAUUGCAUGGGGGUGGGGAGGGUUGUAACUUGCUCCUUGCCUGGGAGGAGUUCCCAGGACUACAAAACAGAAGGCAAACAUCACAGGGCCAUAAAGUUGAAGGACGUAGUUGUCACGGUUGCCAAGAGAUAUUGGUGCUUCCACUGUUCCACUUGAUAUGGUGAGGGGACAUCUGUGUUUUAGAAACCGCACUGGCUUUAGCUCUGCAGGAAAAUCCCUUUACCGAGAGCUUUGUAAAAACAGAACAAAACAAAAUUCUAGGCUAGGUUCCCUGUAAUAAAUGUCCAAGGAGCCUCCCCUGAGCUCUGUUA
rnacentral:lncRNA from 1 species